CUACGGGUGGCUGCAGUUGGGAAUAUUGCACAAUGGGGGAAACCCUGAUGCAGCGACGCCGCGUGGAGGAAGACGGUCUUCGGAUUGUAAACUCCUUUUAUUAGGGAAGAUUAUGACUGUACCUAAUGAAUAAGCACCGGCUAACUACGUGCCAGAAGCCUCGGUGAUACGUAGGGUGCAAGCGCUAUCCGGAAUUAUUGGGCGUAAAGGGCUCGUAGGCGGUCUUGUCCGUUCCUUGUUAAAUCUCCAGGCUCAACUUGGAGCAUGCAGGGAAGACUACAAGACUAGAGUACAGCAGGGGUGAGCGGAAUUGGCGGUGUAGCAGUGAAAUGCGUUGAUAUCGCUAGGAACACCAAUGGCGAAGGCAGCUCACUAGGUUGUUACUGACGCUCAGGGGCGAAAGCGUGGGGAGCGAACGGGAUUAGAUACCCCCGUAGUC
rnacentral:rRNA from 1 species